GUGGGGAAUAUUGGACAAUGGGGGGAACCCUGAUCCAGUCAUGCCGCGUGUGUGAAGAAGGCCUUUUGGUUGUAAAGCACUUUAAGCGAGGAGGAGGCUACCGAGAUUAAUACUCUUGGAUAGUGGACGUUACUCGCAGAAUAAGCACCGGCUAACUCUGUGCCAGCAGCCGCGGUAAUACAGAGGGUGCAAGCGUUAAUCGGAUGUACUGGGCGUAAAGCGCGCGUAGGUGGCCAAUUAAGUCAAAUGUGAAAUCCCCGAGCUUAACUUGGGAAUUGCAUUCGAUACUGGUUGGCUAGAGUAUGGGAGAGGAUGGUAGAAUUCCAGGUGUAGCGGUGAAAUGCGUAGAGAUCUGGAGGAAUACCGAUGGCGAAGGCAGCCAUCUGGCCUAAUACUGACACUGAGGUGCGAAAGCAUGGGGAGCAAACAGGAUUAGAAACCCCAGUAGUCC
rnacentral:rRNA from 1 species